rnacentral:rRNA from 1 species
GAGAAGUUCAGUGCUUCACCUUUAAACCAUGAGGUUUCCCUUGAUUUAGGAAAUUAAGAUAGUCCAGGCUAAGAAAUGUGCCAGCAGCCGCGGUUACACUGCACAUGGGCAAAUAGGGGUCUAUUGGUUUUUAAUUAAAAGUUGAUAUCUUAAAAUGACCAAAAGGAGGCAAGAGAAGUCUAAUUCUCACGAAGACGGAUAAUGGUCGUUGAAUAGAUGAAUUUUGAAGUUAGUAAAAUCAGACGAUGAGAUCAGGAUUAGAUACCCUGGUAUUCUGAUCCAGAAAAAAUUAACCAUGCCACUAAAAGAUAAAGGCUUUAAAACUAAAGAAUUUGGCGGUAUCUCCAAUCAAAUUAGAGGAACCUGUCCUGUAAUCGACGAUCCGCGAUUAAUCUUACCUUGUAAAGUAUUGCUUUCUUUAAUUAUUACACAUAUAAUAAUUAUAGUUAGACCAGCCGGUAUACCGCCAUUUUGAAGUAAUUUUUGAAGAGAUUACUGUAAUUUUGAUUUUUAGGACUAAAUAAAAACAAGACAAAUAUAGACCGAAAAGCGUAGAGCUUUUAAUGAAAGUGAAUGAGUUUCAUAUUUAGUAAAUUAGGUCAAGGUGCCGCCAAUAACAAGAGUAGAGAUGGGUUACAAUUUUAUUGAAAAUUACGGAUGAAAAUAUUUGAAAAGUUAUCUGAAGGCGGAUUUAUCAGUAAUAUAAGUUUAAUACCCUUAUAUGAAGACGAACUGGACUACGUACACAUCGCCCGUCGCUCUCAGUAUUUUGGGAUAAGUCGUAACAAAGUAGGCGUACCGGAAGGUGCGCCUAGAUGUCU